rnacentral:rRNA from 1 species
ACAUAUUUUUUCCAUUAUAUUAUUUAAAAAGGUAAAAUAUGAAAUAAUAUUAAUUUUUUUUUUAAGGUUUAUAAUAUUUUACGAUUAUUUUCUGAAAUUCAUUUUGAAGUAAUACAUGUACUUAAAGUACUAAAAAAAAAAUAAUAAAUCCAUAAAAUAUUACAUUCAUUAUCGUAAAAAGAAAAAUGUUUAAUUAAUUAUUAUUAUUAAUUUAAUUAUGUAUAAUAUAUUUCUUAUGACUUUCCUUUUUCUUAUUAAUUAAAAAUAAUAAUAUAAAUAUAUAACUAUAUUUUCCUUAGGUUAAUAUAUUAUUAUAUAAUAAAAGUAAUUUUUUAAUGUAUAAGUAGUUUUAGUUUUAUUAUAAAAUGCCUUAAUUUAUAGAAAAACAAAAGGAUUAUAUAAAAUAUUAUAUGUAAUUAAUAUUUAUUGACAAAGAAAUUGACGAGAAAGAAAUAUAAUUUUACUAAUUUUAUUUUUAAUAUAUUACAAUAAAAUAUAUUGUGUAAUUUAAUUUCUGCAUAUUUAUAUAUAUAAUUUAUGUAUUAUAUUAUAUAUUAAAUACUUCUUUUAAUUUAGAAAUAUUAAAAUCAAUAUUUUUUUAAUAAAUCAAUAUUUAUACUAUAAUAUAAUAAUAUUGACAAAUUUAUAAACUUUUAUUAAAAAUAUUAAUUAAAAUGUAAUAUGAAUAUAAACAUGAAUAAGUAAUUUGCUCCAAUCCACCCCUCCCAAAAAAAAUUUUCUUUUUUUCAAAAAAAAAAAUUGUAAUAUUAUAUUUUUAUAUAUAAUAUUAUAUUUCACAAUAAAUGAAAAGCAAGUGACUACAUAAUAUUUUUUUAAGGAACCGCUAUAAAACUAAUAUAAUAAUAAAAUAUAUUAUAAUAAAAAUUUACUUUGUACACAUAUUAAAUUCAAUGUUUUGCGUAAGGCAAAAUUUAUAUUAUAAUUAUAUAAAAAUAUAUAAUAAUUAUGAAUAUCGCGAUAUUAUAUAUUUUUAUACGUUCUUAUCUUUUUUAUUAUAAAAAUAAUUUUUUUAUAAAGAUUAAAUUGUAUAAAAAUGUAAAAUUUAAGUAAAAAGAAAUAUAACUUCCCAUUCUCUUAUUUUUAAUUCUUUUGAAUAUGUAUAAUGUAUAAAAUAAUUUGCUUCAUUUUAAUAUAUAACAAUAAUAUGUACCCAUAUUUUUAAUAAUCCUUGUACUAUAUAAAUAUUUAUGUAUAUUUCCAUUUCUAUGUAUUUUAAAACUCUUUAAAUCAUAAGAAAUUUUAAGGUCUCUUAAAAAUUGCAAAAUGAAAUUAAUAUAAAAUAAAUAGUUCUUAAAUUGUUUUAUAUAAAAACAUAUGAAAAAUUUUUAUUAAGUACUUUAACAAAUUUUAAUGUCAUUUUUAAUAAAGAAGUUUUAUAAUUAAAAUGGAUUCAUCAUAAUAAUAAAAUUAUAUAUAUAUUUAUAUAUAUGUUAUUUUUAAUAUUUUAUAAUUUUCUUUUAAAAGAAAAGAUUGUUAUUAUUAUGUGAUACAAUAUAUAUUAAAUAAAUUAUAAUUUAUACAUUUAUAUAUAUAAUACACCGUGAUACGUAACAUGGAAUAGUAAAAUAAAAUUUAAAUGUAAUUUUUUUGUAUUAUAAUAUUUUAAUAGCGAAAUAUUGUAUAUAUAUAUAUAUAUAUAUAUAUAUAUUAUAAUUAUAUACAUUAUAAUUGGUUAUAUUCAGGUAUAUAUAUUAUAUAAAUUUAUGUGUGCAGGAAAAUGAUAUAAUAUAUAAUUUAUUAUAUAAAAAUGUAAACAAGAAAUUUUUAAAGAAUGAAGUUCAUUUAUUUAUUUUGUUUUUUAAAUAUAUAAAGUAAUAUAUUGUAUUUAAGGAACUAAUAAGAUAUUUGAAAAAAUGGUAUAGACAAAAAUAUAUAUAUAUAUAUAUAUAUAUAAUAAAUGUGUAUUUUUUAUGUUAUAACUUUAUAUGGGAAAACAAUUGUAUAUAAUGAAUGAUCAUUAUAAUAUCUAGCAAUAUAAAUAUUAAUAAAAAGAAAUUAAAAUAUAAAUUCAAUUUUUAAAAUAAGAUAAACAAGAACCUAUACCUAUUUUUUUUUUUUUUUCUUGGUCAAUAAUUUGAGAAAAACAGAAAAAUUAUAUUAAAAUUUAAGAGAACAUUUCCAAUAUAUUUAAUUUCCAAAGAAUAUUUAUAAAAAUAAAAAAAAAUCUAUAUAAUAUACAACUAUCAUAUACAUAAAUAUUUAAAUAUAUUCAAAAUACAUUACAUCUAGGUUGAAGGAAAAUUUGUGAAAAUAAAUAAAAUAUAUGUCUUUAAAUUUAAUAAGUCUAUUUUUCAUUCUUGUAUGAACCAUAUAUAAAUAUAUAUAUAUAAAUAUAUAUAUAUAUAUAUAUAUUAUAGACAUAAGGAAUUUUAUUAAUAUAUAUAUAUAUAUAUAUAUAUAUAUUAAAAAUACGGAACCUAUUGGAUUAAAAUUAAAUUUUACAUUCUAGAAUUACCAUUAU